AUCCAAACGAUGAGUCCCGAAUAGGACGAAAUGCUCAUUCUAGAU
rnacentral:hammerhead_ribozyme from 1 species